rfam:Candidate division WWE3 bacterium GW2011_GWA2_44_16 TW36_C0006, whole genome shotgun sequence.
GGGCGGAUGGCGGAAUUGGUAUACGCGUAUGGCUUAGGACCAUAUCCCGCGAGGGGUGGGGGUUCAAGUCCCCCUCCGCCCA